rfam:Danio rerio chromosome 7, GRCz11 reference primary assembly.
CAACCUAUCUAUAUCCCACUGCAGUCCAAGACAGGUUAAUCGCUGAAGCUAAGCAGGGCUGGGCCUGGUCAGUACCUGGAUGGGAGACCACAUGGGAAAGCUAGGUUGCAGUUGGA